GGGCAUGUUAGACAAGGGAAACAUAAGGAAGGAGGAUCAUUACGCUACCAAACUCUCUUUGCGCGGCUAUUUAAAGGGAAAUAUUUUCCUUUCUCGUCCUUUUUGCAGGCUAAACAAGGAAGCAGAACAUCUUAGGGCUGGCAAAGCAUCCUUUGUGCGAGAAAUCCUUAAAAAAGGAGUUAGAUGGCAUAUAGGGAGGGGUGAAACUGUCCUAUGUAAGGAAGAAAGAUGGAUUCCAAAAUUCUUCCCACAUUCUCCUGUAGUUAAGGAAAAUCAUGAUUUCAAAGUCGUUUGGGUUUCUCAGCUUUUGGACAAUUCCUUGAAUAAAUGGAAUGUUAAUACAUUAAGAGCAAAUUUUCAGGAGGAAGUUAAUAAUAUUCUCUCAAUGCCAGUUGCGCUUUUUCGAAGAGAUGACCAUCUCAUAUGGCAUUUUGAUAAAAAAAGGGAACUACACGGUGAAAUCUAGCUACUUCCUUUCUCGGUCUAUUUGUUCUUCUGUUGCUAAUUCAUCGGGAGCUGGACCAGGUCCAACUCACAAGGAAAUAGGAGCCUAUUCUCGUAGAAAAUCUAGAAAAUUGCACUCCCAACUAAGUUAUCAACAUUUUUGUGGAGUUUCCUUAAAGAAAAAAUGCCAAAUCAAGACCUCCUGUAUAAGCGUCUCCCACAGGUUUCCCCAGAUUGCAGAUUCUGUGGUGUCCCAGAAACAAUCAAACAUUUCUUCUUUGAAUGCAAUAGAACAAGGGAAAUCUGGAUCCAGUCUCCAUUCUAGAUCAGAUCAUCCUUCCUAUUGGGUACAUCCAUGAUGGAUAUAUGGACUGUCGCAACCUUUAAUUGAUCAAGGCCAAGAUAAGGUUUUUGUUCCAAUGCUUGUUUUCCUUUUGUGGCAGAUAUGGAAGAGCCGAAAUUGCUUUAUUUUUAAGAACCAGACUCUUUCUUUUCAAGAGAUCAUUGUCUUAGCUAUGAGACACCAUGAAGAGUUUGUUUCAGCACAAGCUAAGGAGGAAUCACCUCGAUCUGGUAACAUACGCGCUGCUGUGGGUUGGGAACCUCCCCCCUUCGCAAUGGAUUAAAAUUAACUUUGAUGGUGGACCCUCGAAGCAGCAGAACUUGGGCUCAGUAGUUGUUAUUGCAAGAGAUAGUCUUGGCAACCCCUGCGGUUGGUCUUGUAAGAGACUUCUGGCUAUGACCGAUCCAUUGAUAGUAGAAGCUGUAGCAUGCAGAGAAGCUCUUAUCUUUGCAAAGACAAGGGGCUUUAAUCAAAUCAUCAUUGAAGGAGAUGCUGCUUUGGUGAUACAAUCCUAACAGGGAAGUACCCCUCCAAUUGAAAUCAAAGAAGUUAUUGCAGAUAUUUUAGAGCUGGCCAAUGAUUUUCGUAAUAUUAGUUACUGUUUAGUGAAAAGAGAUUGCAAUGCAGCAGCUCAUAAUCUUGCUGCAAAAGCCUCAUCUGAGGCCUCUUUUAUUUGUAAUCCUUUGACGCAGUUUAACUUUGUAUUUGACUCUAUGAUCUGCUGAUUUUUCAAUGAAAUUAUUACCUUUCGAC
rnacentral:misc_RNA from 1 species